UGGGGAAUAUUGCACAAUGGGCGCAAGCCUGAUGCAGCCAUGCCGCGUGUAUGAUGAAGGCCUUCGGGUUGUAAAGUACUUUCAGCGGGGAGGAAGGGAGUAAAGUUAAUACUUUUGCUCAAUGACGUUACCCGCAGAAGAAGCACCGGCUAACUCCGUGCCAGCAGCCGCGGUAAUACGGAGGGUGCAAGCGUUAAUCGGAAUUACUGGGCGUAAAGCGCACGCAGGCGGUUUGUUAAGUCAGAUGUGAAAUCCUCGGGCUCAACCUGGGAACUGCAUCUGAUACUGGCAAGCUUGAGUCUCGUAGAGGGGGGUAGAAUUCCAGGUGUAGCGGUGAAAUGCGUAGAGAUCUGGAGGAAUACCGGUGGCGGAGGCGGCCCCCUGGACUAAGACUGACGCUCAGGUGCGAAAGCGUGGGGAGCAAACAGG
rnacentral:rRNA from 1 species